GCCGCUGCCACGUUUUCGGCAAACGAACAAAGGCCACCCAGCUUUCGUCAAUUAAGUUGCGGUUAACCGCAGCUUCUGGGCGGUCAAUUGACGGCACACUCCAGUUCCCAGGUGGUCCAUCGUUCGGUACUUUGUUCGGUAGAUUGAAUCUACCGAACACCCCGGCAGAAAGGCAUGAAUAAGCCUUUCAGCAGGGAAAAUAGAA